CGGUGGUUGUAAACAGAGUUUUAUUGAUGGGGAGGGGGCUGGGGGAGGCAAACUCCAGAGAGGGCAGAGGACCCAGCCAGCCACGUGGCAUGCAUGGUCAGCUGGAGCUGCUGCCGAUGUGACUUCCGGGCAGGCCCUCCUCGUGUCUCCUGCCUGAAACCCCGGCAUUGUCCCCGCUUCCCUCUGCAGAGUGGGGGGGGUUCAAACUCCUAACCGGCACCUCGGAGACCCCCGGGCCUUCUGGAAGCCCCAGCGUCGGCUCAGCCAACGCCCAGGCCGCUGGGGCCACCACGAUCGUCGCUCGUGGACACACACCCUGCACGCGUGGCCCACUUGACACACACGCCCACAGCAGCCUUCGCUGGCACGCACACACACGCCCACCUCCCCGGCCCCUUGCACACGAACACGGCACGCACACGCACGCACACCCACACACGCCAGGGGCCUGGGUUGGGGAGGGACCUUUCCAGGGGUGGGGGAGGGCUUAGGUCUGCAGCUGUGGCCCCCCAUUCCCCACCGGCGUCCAAGCCUCCCCUGCCUGCCGCCACCCCGAGAACGGAGUUGUGCAAUUGGUUAGAAAACCGCAAAAGAAACCAAAACUGCAAAAAAAACCAAAACCUACGCGCAUAAGGUCAA
rnacentral:lncRNA from 1 species